rnacentral:lncRNA from 1 species
CCUGACUCUCUCUCACUUGCUCCUGCUGUUGCCAUGUGCCGUGCCUGCUCCCUGUUCACCUUCCACCAUGACUGUAAGCUUCCUGAGGCCUCCCUAGAAGCCAAGCAGAUGCCAGCGCAAUGCUUCCUGUAAAGCUUGCAGAAGCAUGAGCCAACUAAACCUCUUUUCUUUAUAAAGUACCCAGUCUCAGAUAUUUCUUUAUAGCAGUGAAAGAACGGCCUAACGAGGGGCACAGGCACAACCACAGUGGAGAUGGUCUGAGAAGGCCUCGCAGCACAGAUGCUGAGGGGGAUGCAGCGACCUCCUGAAGGGAGGCUGGAGGCAGUUUCCACACAGAAGAAAAGAAAAUGACCGGUAAGGGGGCUUGUGGCAGAGGAAGUGACUGACAGUGAGGGGCAUGCUGGAUCUGGACUGUGCUGACACGGCCACGGACACGGAUACCAGGGCCUACGAGCGCUGACCUUGAGCUGGGUCUGAAACAGAGACGGCACCUUGAAAUGACCACAUGCCAUCGAAGGUAAGGUAAGGGCAGGCAGGGAGCUGGCCCUGGGGCAUGUCCGACAACUCUCCCAGGGGAGUCCUAGAGGACUGCACAGCAGACACAGGUGUGGGUGCCUGAGAUGGCCCCACUUCAGGCCAGAACUCUAACCCAGUGGGGGAGCGUCUGUGCUUGUUGCCUCUGACAUCUUUUCUCUUCAUCUUUGCAUUGCCUGCAUUUCAAUGUAUAGAGGAUGUAUGCCAUGGGUCUGUGUCUAUCCACAGAUGUUUCUAAUGGAUCCACUCAAAUUCUUACAUUCCAGUGAACUCAUUUGUUAGUGGAGGCAGUUGAAUCAUUACACCUAUUAAAACAUGGAUUAACCACAGAAUAAAUGGGUUGGGGUUUGUUCACAGUGGGGG